rnacentral:lncRNA from 1 species
UGAGAGGACUUUGGCACCGUCAGUCAAGGGCUGCUCACCUGACGUUGGUCACGUGACUCUACAAACCGUUUGCCGGAGUAAUUUGGUGCUGUGCCCUCUGAGAGGCUGAGCAACCAAGAGCUGGCAAGGCCUUGGAGAUCAUGUAACGUAACCCUCUCAUUUUUCACAUCAGGCCCAGAGAGGCCACGUGGAUUGCCCAAGGUCGCAGAGUUAAUUAUGGCAGAACGGGGGCUGCUUUCCAGGUAUCUGCCUUCCCGCUCUUUCGCUACACACCGCUGCCGUUUUCUCCUGAUUUAGCAGUUCUCCCUCUGGGUGAUAGAAGCCUGGAAGCAAAUGUCUAAAUGUGGCAUAUUAUCUAAAAUUAAAUUUGCACAAUCGCAGCCCACUCAAUUCAAGAAGCCCUGAACUUUAAUUCACUUGAGUCAUACUUUUGCAGACGGAAUUUUGGCCAAGAUGAAUUCUCAGUUCUGAAGACAAGUGAGACACAGGGACGUGGUUCAAGGAUCACCUUUCUGAUCAGGAUCAGAAAGGAGACAAGCACCGUUCUGAUCACCAGCUAAUCAAAUCUGACUGAUUGCAUCAGUUCCUUCAAUGGAAGCUCUCACGUUUUUGGUACCGUCAUUAGCCUGACCCGCCAGGCCCACAGACCCAUUGAUGAUGGUGCGAACAUGUAUCAUACUUUGGGGCUUUGUCAUUUGUUGUUGACAGGUUAUAGAAUCUAUAUUUAGACAGUUACAAAAUUUUUGAAUUAGAUAUUGUGUCCUCUAAACUUUACACUGGCCUUUUCGAGAGUGAAGACUGUUAGGUUCUAGUAUGUGAAAAUACUUUGAUGCUAUUCUAUGGCAUUUACAAAGAGAGAGAGAUACAGAAAUUGUGCUGGCUCUGAAGAAUCCAGAACAAGGCAGAGGUCCACAGUCUGGAAAAGUAUUCACAACUUCUACCAAAGAAGUGGCAGAAACCAGCUCUGGCUAAUUUCCAAAGAUGCAUAUUGUGUAAGAAAGAGGGCCGAUUGGAAUGGAGUUCUAUCUUAGGCUUGCUCCCAGUCUAUCUCAGUCAGAUGGC